rnacentral:rRNA from 1 species
GUGAACCUGCGGAGGGAUCAUUGCUGGAACGCGCUUCGGCGCACCCAGAAACCCUUUGUGAACUUAUACCUAUUGUUGCCUCGGCGUAGGCCGGCCUCUUCACUGAGGCCCCCUGGAAACAGGGAGCAGCCCGCCGGCGGCCAACCAAACUCUUGUUUCUAUAGUGAAUCUCUGAGUAAAAAACAUAAAUGAAUCAAAACUUUCAACAACGGAUCUCUUGGUUCUGGCAUCGAUGAAGAACGCAGCGAAAUGCGAUAAGUAAUGUGAAUUGCAGAAUUCAGUGAAUCAUCGAAUCUUUGAACGCACAUUGCGCCCUCUGGUAUUCCGGAGGGCAUGCCUGUUCGAGCGUCAUUUCAACCCUCAAGCCUGGCUUGGUGAUGGGGCACUGCCUGUAAGAGGGCAGGCCCUGAAAUCUAGUGGCGAGCUCGCCAGGACCCCGAGCGUAGUAGUUAUAUCUCGCUCUGGAAGGCCCUGGCGGUGCCCUGCCGUUAAACCCCCAACUUCUGAAAAUUUGACCUCGGAUCAGGUAGGAAUACCCGCUGAACUUAAGC